rnacentral:lncRNA from 1 species
CCCUUGCUGUCUCUGCCUUGCCGGUUCCCCUCUUUCCACUGGGAUUCUCUGCCUCUAACCCUUUUACAGGGGCUGAGUCACUGGCUUACUGGUGUUCUUCCAUGCCGUCCAUGGGAGGGGUGCGUCACUUGAGUGGGUUGAGUCACUGACGUGGUCUUCCUGUCUGGGUUGGCGCCCCCCCUUGGGUUGUGCCAUGGCGGAGAUCGUUGUGGGCUAUACUCGGCCUUGUCUUAGGAUGGUAAGUUGGUGGUUGGAGACAUCCCUCUAGUGGUGUGGGGGCUGUGCUUUGGCAAAGUGGGUGGCGUUAUGGGUCCUACAGUAGGUCUAUGUUAUUGUUAGGUGAAGUUAUGGGUCCUGCAGUAGGUCUAUGUUGUUGUUAGGUGAAGUUAUGGGUCCUACAGUAGGUCUAUGUUGUUGUUAGGUGAAGUUAUGGGUCCUACAGUAGGUCUAUGUUAUUGUUAGGUGGAGUUAUGGGUCCUACAGUAGGUCUAUGUUAUUGUUAGGUGAAGUUAUGGGUCCUACAGUAGGUCUAUGUUGUUGUUAGGUGAAGUUAUGGGUCCUACAGUAGGUCUAUGUUGUUGUUAGGUGAAGUUAUGGGUCCUACAGUAGGUCUAUGUUGUUGUUAGGUGAAGUUAUGGGUCCUACAGUAGGUCUAUGUUGUUGUUAGGCGGAGUUAUG